rnacentral:lncRNA from 1 species
UUGGCUCCUUUAUUAAAUGCUUUUGACCACUUGGUGGGUCUAUAUAAAGGUGGUUUUACGCUCCUAAUCUUGAAGUAACAAAAAGACUUUAUCAAAACAGUUUUUCCAAGAUUUGAAAGAGCUUUGGAUCAUUCUUAAGUGUGUGGAAUAGGAUUGGGUUGUAAUUCUGAACUUUAAGCUUUGUAAUACCCAAGUGUAUUCUAUUCCCUUCUUCCUU